CCAUCUCCUGCGUCGCGUCCACGCGCCCGCCGCCCGCUGCCGCGAACAUACAACGCAACGUUCAGUCACAAUCAAUACGCUCGUACCCAGGGUGGUCACGCGCUAUACACACAUGCAGUUUGUAGCACAGGCAAAGUCUCCGCGGUGAAGCUGAGGCCGAGGAGUCCCUUCACCUGCGACGCCAUGAUGAUCACCGCAGUCGCUGAUGUGAACCCGCUCGUUACUGAUGGCGAUAUCAGCUGUACCAGGCAACCUGACCAGCCACUCGAUUAUUAAAACAAUGUCACUCAA